UGGGGAAUCUUGCGCAAUGGGCGAAAGCCUGACGCAGCGACGCCGCGUGAGUGAUGAAGGCCCUCGGGUUGUAAAGCUCUGUGGAGGGGGAAGAAUAAGGGUGACCUAACACGUCAUCCGAUGACGGUACCCCUUUAGCAAGCACCGGCUAACUCUGUGCCAGCAGCCGCGGUAAGACAGAGGGUGCAAACGUUGUUCGGAAUUACUGGGCGUAAAGCGCGUGUAGGCGGCUUGGCAAGUCGGGUGUGAAAGCCCUGGGCUCAACCUAGGAAGUGCACUCGAAACUGCCUCGCUCGAGUAUCGGAGAGGAAAGCGGAAUUCUCGGUGUAGAGGUGAAAUUCGUAGAUAUCGAGAGGAACACCGGUGGCGAAGGCGGCUUUCUGGACGGUUACUGACGCUGAGACGCGAAAGCGUGGGGAGCAAACAGG
rnacentral:rRNA from 1 species